GACGAACGCUGGCGGCGUGCUUAACACAUGCAAGUCGUACGGUAAGGCCCUUUCGGGGGUACACGCGUGGCGAACGGGUGAGUAACACGUGCGUAACCUGCCCACCACUUUGGGAUAACGCUAGGAAACUGGUGCUAAUACUGGAUAUGUGCUCCUGCCGCAUGGUGGGGGUUGGAAAGCUCCGGCGGUUGUGGAUGGACUCGCGGGCUAUCCGUUUGUUGGUGGGGGAGUGGGCUACCAAGGCGGCGACGGGUAGCCGGCCGGGGAGGGUGAACGGCCACAUUGGGACUGGGAUACGGCCCAGACUCCUACGGGAAGGAGCAGGGGGGAAUAUUGCACAAUGGGCGCAAGCCUGAUGCAGCAACGCCGCGUGCGGGAUGACGGCCUUCGGGUUGGAAACCGCUUUCAGCAGGGACGAAGCUUUUUGUGACGGUACCUGCAGAAGAAGCACCGGCUAACUACGUG
rnacentral:rRNA from 1 species